GCCCCCCUAGUGGAGGCCUCUUAAAGAAACAGGACGCCAUUCCCCUGCGGGCUACAGGGUCUGAAGGAAGAAUAUUGUUUUAGCCUGGAUUCUCUAGAAAACAGAACCUUUGGCAAGUUUGUAUGCCAACACCUCACUGGGGAGUGCAACCUCAGAGAAACCAGAUUGAGGGAAAAAUGAGGCAAGAAGGAGAAGUGCAAAGAUAAGAGGCAUUACUGAGAGGACCCGAGUUUUGUAAUUAAUGAAGCUAACUGCUUGGACUCACAGUACAUCUUCAGAUCUUCAGAGAAGUUGUAUGAACUACCCUGUCUUGGAACAUCCUCAGGAGGAGAAACUGGAACACACUUUUUUCUCCUGCCUUUGGACAUCGGAACUCCAGGCUCUCCAGGCUUUCCAGACUCUGGACUUAACAGCAGUCUCUGGACUUACAACAGCAGCCCCCUGGAUCCUCAAGCCUUUGGCCUCAGACUAAUAAUUAUAUCAGCAACUUCCUGGUUCUGAGGCUUUUGGGCAGCCAUGCUACUAGCAACCCAGCAGUUCCAGCAGAAGGCCUGUUGUGGGACUUCUCAGCCUCCAUGAGCAUGUAAGCUUGCUUAAAAGAACUCCAGAUGGCCCGGGAGCUGCAGGACCCUUUGCCAAUUAUCAGAGGAAGAUAAGGCCUGUGUGAAACCGGGACAAACCUGAACCAGCGACCCCGUGUUACCUUUAGAUCAUUAACAUAUCAUCAUAAUGCUAAAACCUCACCCAUAGAAGAUAAUUGCUGCCAUUUUCUGAAUAUACAUUAUAUGAAGAAGCAUGUUCAUGAUCUGCACCUGCACAUCUGGAGUUCCUCCCCAUACAUGUUUACGUACCUCCCUGCCCCACAUCUAACUCCUUAAAAUCCCCCAGCUUCUCAUAUCUCAGGGAGAAGGAGUCUUUAGAGAAAGAGCUCCCUCCUCCAUUCCUGGCCAGGAAUAAAACCUGCUUGCCUUUUUUCCCAAUUAGGUGUUACAGUAGAACUCAGUUACCCUGUAACAAUAAGAAUUGCAUUAAAUCCUUAUAUCAACUUGGGAAGAAUUGACAGCUUUACCAUAUUAAGUCUUCUAAUCCAUAAAUAAGUAUGUUCAUCCAUUUUUUUAGAUUUUUGAAAUUUCUUUCAUCAGCAUUUUGUAGUUCUUUGCCUCACUAUCUAGAUCCCAAAUAUUUUCUGUUUUUUUUUUCUGAAAGUUUUAUCUCUUACAAUUUAAACCUGAGUAGUUCUCAGCAUGCAAGCCCCAUACAUGUUUUGUUGGAUUUAAAUUUAAGUACUUUGGUUUUUGAUAAAUUGUAAGUGCUACUGUAUUUUAAGUUUCAGUGCCCAUGUGUUCCUUGCUGGUAUAAAGAAAUACAACAUAUUCCUGCAGUCUAGCUGAAGUCACUUAUCAGCUCUAGGAGUUUCUGUUUUUUGUUUUAUUUUUGGUAGAUCUUUGAGAUUUCCUACUUUGAUAAGCAUGUUAUCCACGAAUAGGGACAGUUUUAUUACUACCUUUCUGAUCUGUAUGCCUUUUAUUUCCUUUUCUUACCUUAUUGCAUUGGGUAGAACUUCUAACACUGUUUAACAAUAAUGGUAAGAGCAGUCAUCCUUGCCCUUUUCCUCUUCUCAGGGGUACAACCAUUCAGUCUUUCACUGUUAAGUAUGAUGCUGGCUGUGGAGUUGUUAUAGAUGCUCUUUAACAAGUUAGGACAAAUUCCCUCUAUUUCUCUUUUUCUGAGCAUUUUUAAAACCAUGAAUGGGUAUUUUGUGAAAUGCUUUUUCUGUAUUGAUUGGUAAGAUCAAUUUUCUUUUGUAUCCAGUUAGUAUGUUGGAUUAUGUUGACUGAUUUGUGAAUAGUAAAACUGCCCUGCAUUCCUGCA
rnacentral:lncRNA from 1 species